rnacentral:rRNA from 1 species
AGGUAAGCUACUAAGAGCGAAUGGUGGAUGCCUUGACUGGUAAAGGCGAUGAAGGACGUACUAGACUGCGAUAAGCUACGGGGAGCUGUCAAGAAGCUUUGAUCCGUAGAUUUCCGAAUGGGGCAACCCAAUGUAUAGAGAUAUACAUUACCUAUAUAGGAGCGAACGAGGGGAAUUGAAACAUCUUAGUACCCUCAGGAAAAGAAAUCAAUAGAGAUUGCGUCAGUAGCGGCGAGCGAAAGCGCAAGAGGGCAAACCCAGUGCUUGCACUGGGGGUUGUAGGACUGCAAUGUGCAAGAGCUGAGUUUAGCAGAACAUUCUGGAAAGUAUAGCCAUAGAGGGUGAUAGUCCCGUAUGCGAAAAACAAAGCUUAGCUAGCAGUAUCCUGAGUAGGGCGGGACACGAGGAAUCCUGUCUGAAUCCGGGUCGACCACGAUCCAACCCUAAAUACUAAUACCAGAUCGAUAGUGCACAAGUACCGUGAGGGAAAGGUGAAAAGAACUGAGGUGAUCAGAGUGAAAUAGAACCUGAAACCAUUUGCUUACAAUCAUUCAGAGCACUAUGUAGCAAUACAGUGUGAUGGACUGCCUUUUGCAUAAUGAGCCUGCGAGUUGUGGUGUCUGGCAAGGUUAAGCAAACGCGAAGCCGUAGCGAAAGCGAGUCUGAAUAGGGCGCUUAGUCAGAUGCUGCAGACCCGAAACGAAGUGAUCUAUCCAUGAGCAAGUUGAAGCUAGUGUAAGAACUAGUGGAGGACUGAACCCAUAGGCGUUGAAAAGCCCCGGGAUGACUUGUGGAUAGGGGUGAAAGGCCAAUCAAACUUCGUGAUAGCUGGUUCUCUCCGAAAUAUAUUUAGGUAUAGCGUUGUGUCGUAAUAUAAGGGGGUAGAGCACUGAAUGGGCUAGGGCAUACACCAAUGUACCAAACCCUAUCAAACUCCGAAUACCUUAUAUGUAAUCACAGCAGUCAGGCGGCGAGUGAUAAAAUCCGUCGUCAAGAGGGAAACAACCCAGACUACCAGCUAAGGUCCCUAAGUCUUACUUAAGUGGAAAACGAUGUGAAGUUACUUAAACAACCAGGAGGUUGGCUUAGAAGCAGCCAUCCUUUAAAGAAAGCGUAAUAGCUCACUGGUCUAGUGAUUUUGCGCGGAAAAUAUAACGGGGCUAAAGUAAGUACCGAAGCUGUAGACUUAGUUUACUAAGUGGUAGGAGAGCGUUCUAUUUGCGUCGAAGGUAUACCGGUAAGGAGUGCUGGAGCGAAUAGAAGUGAGCAUGCAGGCAUGAGUAGCGAUAAUUAAUGUGAGAAUCAUUAACGCCGUAAACCCAAGGUUUCCUACGCGAUGCUCGUCAUCGUAGGGUUAGUCGGGUCCUAAGUCGAGUCCGAAAGGGGUAGACGAUGGCAAAUUGGUUAAUAUUCCAAUACCAACAUUAGUGUGCGAUGGAAGGACGCUUAGGGCUAAGGGGGCUAGCGGAUGGAAGUGCUAGUCUAAGGUCGUAGGAGGUUAUACAGGCAAAUCCGUAUAACAAUACUCCGAGAACUGAAAGGCUUUUUGAAGUCUUCGGAUGGAUAGAAGAACCCCUGAUGCCGUCGAGCCAAGAAAAGUUUCUAAGUUUAGCUAAUGUUGCCCGUACCGUAAACCGACACAGGUGGGUGGGAUGAGUAUUCUAAGGCGCGUGGAAGAACUCUCUUUAAGGAACUCUGCAAAAUAGCACCGUAUCUUCGGUAUAAGGUGUGG